rnacentral:lncRNA from 1 species
CCAAAGUCUGUCAUAAACCAAUCGUAAUGAAACAAAAAUAGACAAAAUCAUCAAUAUUUAAAAUUUUUAAUUGAUGUGACAUAUAAUGAUUAGCUUGAGACAGUAGAUCCAUGUCCAUACAUGUUCAUCCUCUCUCACACUAGUCUAGAUCCUCUCAUAUAAUAGAGAGGCCAGUACUUUCUAAGAUGCUGACAUGAAAAAAUAUACAUGGUCAUGAUUUUACACUCAAAUUUUAAUUAAAAUAAAAAUAAAAAUCCAUAAAUCCCUUCCUCCUUUCAUUCCCUUGUACAGUGAAGAUUCCAUGUAAAAUCCUUAGCAAAUCACCUUCAACUUCCUCAUUUUCUUCCCAUCAACAGUGUGGUAAGGGUAGGCUUUGGGAAUUAAAGUGAGAGUAGAUAGACUCAGUGAAGAGACAUGAAGUUGAGAAAAUCCAGCUCUCUAGCUACUUUGAAAUUGACUGUGAAGAUUUGUCAACUUAACCACAAUGCAUAAGGUUUUAUUACAAUAGAUAAGUUUUUGUCAACAUUACCUUUGGUCCAGUAGUAGAAGAAUACCUCUUUCUUUAGCCAGGGGAGGGGAGAAGACAAUGAGGAAGGAAAUGGCGAAGGGGGAUUAUAGGGAUUUUCUUUUAUUUUUUUAUUGAAAUUUGAGUUUAUUUUGAGUAUAAAAUCGAUAACGAUUAAUAUUUUUUAUUGUCAUGCGUCAAUAUCUUAAGAAAAAUUCAAAAGAG